rnacentral:rRNA from 1 species
GACGAACGCUGGCGGCGUGCUUAACACAUGCAAGUCGAACGGAAAGGCCCUGCUUUUGUGGGGUUCUCGAGUGGCGAACGGGUGAGUAACACGUGAGUAACCUGCCCUUGACUUUGGGAUAACUUCAGGAAACUGGGGCUAAUACCGUAUAUGAGCUCCUGCUGCAUGGUGGGGGUUGGAAAGUUUCGGCGGUUGGGGAUGGACUCGCGGCUUAUCAGCUUGUUGGUGGGGUAGUGGCUUACCAAGGCUUUGACGGGUAGCCGGCCUGAGAGGGUGACCGGGCACAGUGGGACUGAGAGACGGAGCAGAGGGCAACGGGAGGCAGCAGUGGGGAAGAUGGCAAAAUGGGAGGAAGCAUGAUGAAGAAACGAAGCGAGCGGGAUGACGGCAUGCGGGUUGUAAAAAGAUGUGGCAUGAGACGAAGAGUGAGUGACGGUAAUGGGUAAAGAAGCAACGGCUAACUACGUG